GAUUCUGAAUUAAUCAAUCGCAUUGACCCAUAUGAAAUAUGGACUAGGCGUAAGUCGAUACUUUCUUACCUUAGGAUUUGAGAGUGUUCAAUUUAUGUCGAGUAUUUACAGACUGAUUAAUUUAGAUUCUGAUCCUAUAUGUAUUAUUUUGAAGGAUAACUCCAAAGAUUCUAGGAGAUAUAACUUCUACCAUGCUAAAGAGCAAAAAUUGUUCGGCAUUCCUUUUAAAAAAGGAGUACCAUGAUAAAGGUAGUGAUGCCUUUAAUGUGAAACUUAUGAAGUUCGAUAGGU
rnacentral:lncRNA from 1 species